UACGGAGGGUGCGAGCGUUGUCCGGAAUCACUGGGCGUAAAGGGCGCGUAGGCGGCCUGAUAAGUAGGGGGUGAAAUCCUGCGGCUUAACCGCAGGGCUGCCUUCUAAACUGUCAGGCUAGAGCACAGUAGAGGCAGGUGGAAUUCCCGGUGUAGCGGUGGAAUGCGUAGAGAUCGGGAAGAACAUCAGUGGCGAAGGCGGCCUGCUGGGCUGUUGCUGACGCUGAGGCGCGACAGCGUGGGGGAGCAAACAGGG
rnacentral:rRNA from 1 species